rnacentral:lncRNA from 1 species
CAGGUUAGGUGUAUCUACCUGUCCAGGGGCCCCUCCCAGCUCACCUGUAGUGAAAAAGGGUCAACAGCACGCGAGACCCCGCGCGCGUCCGCGGGCAGUAAAAGAAUGGACGAUGUUGCGGAGCCGAGAGUAGCAGAGAAGGACGGACAACAAUUGUCCAGCAAGUUGGCUCGGCGCGCGGGCCUUACCAAAUGCAUCGGGACAAAAACCAACAAGGAUAAUGAAAGACCAUCCGGUCAGGAAGUUAUCGGGUGCGAAUUCAUUUCGGGUAGGAUACUAACUUGCAGAGUCCUGCGAAAACAAAGGGGGAAUCACGUGAAAUCGAUAUCUUAGAGAUCUUUGUCCCUCGGAAGAUUCUCGAAUAAGUAGAUAAGAGAAAGAGAAAAAGUGAGGAGUAAAGACGAAGAGAAGGGAGUCUGUACUGGUUCUGCGUAGGGAGGACACGAGAAAAAUUCGAAGAUUGUUUCCAGAACCUUUGAAGGAGAAGCAAAAUUCAAGGACAUUUCCAGGACCACUGGACACUAUGUAUACUUAUUUGACUUCCAGCGGCCGCGGCGUACGUCUAUUACAGAAAUCGCAAGCGGUGUCUUGACUGCGGGGAGUUUGUCACUAUACGCAACGUCGUUAGAACGACUGUUGGGUGUACCGACCGCAGGCCUAAUUCCGAGUCUCUCAAGUAACGUGCAACGCGGGUCGAGCCGGGCGCACAGGUGUGUCGUAUAGAACCGCGGUGCUUAGAGAGCUAAUAACUGACACUCGAUUCAGCCCGUGAUCUCGGCUCCUGAUAUCCAGCUACUAAUCACCGGUAAAACACCGCGCAGCACCAGCAGCACCAGCGAUAAGACGCAACGCAACGCGACGCGUUGGGCGGCCGCAGAUCUAAGCGCAACAUCGUCGCUUUAAUUUUCACCAGACGCGUUUCGGCUCGGAUCGAAUCGAAUCGAAACGCCGCCGCUUCUUUCGCGAGCGGAUCGAUCGAUCGAUCCUCCGGCCUCCUCGCGGGGUGCUGCCGCCUCCGAGGAUGAUGCCCCAGGGGCCGACGGUAGCCGGGCACUCAUUGCCCCGAAAUCAAGCGAUAAUUACGGGUCUCGGACCGCUGAUCGCAGUCUUCUCGACGCGGAGGACGACGAGGACCCGGAGGUGGUUGCCCAGCGGAGGCGGCGGAGGCGGAGACGGAGGCCGAGAGGAGUA